rnacentral:rRNA from 1 species
AGGACGAACGCUGGCGGCGUGCUUAACACAUGCAAGUCGAACGGUAAGGCCCUUCGGGGUACACGAGUGGCGAACGGGUGAGUAACACGUGGGUGAUCUGCCCUGCACUUCGGGAUAAGCCUGGGAAACUGGGUCUAAUACCGGAUAGGACCAUGGACUUCACGGUUUGUGGUGGAAAGCUUUUGCGGCGUGGGAUGGGCCCGCGGCCUAUCAGCUUGUUGGUGGGGCAAUGGCCUACCAAGGCGACGACGGGUAGCCGGCCUGAGAAGGUGUCCGGCCACACUGGGACUGAGAUACGGCCCAGACUCCUACGGGAGGCAGCAGUGGGGAAUAUUGCACAAUGGGCGCAAGCCUGAUGCAGCGACGCCGCGUGAGGGAUGACGGCCUUCGGGUUGUAAACCUCUUUCAAUAGGGACGAAGCGCAAGUGACGGUACCUAUAGAAGAAGCACCGGCCAACUACGUG